rnacentral:piRNA from 1 species
UAGAAGAGAGUAGCAAGGGUGUGGAU